GACGAACGCUGGCGGCGUGCUUAACACAUGCAAGUCGAACGGAAAGGCCCUGCUUUUGUGGGGUGCUCGAGUGGCGAACGGGUGAGUAACACGUGAGUAACCUGCCCUUGACUUUGGGGUAACUUCAGGAAACUGGGGCUAAUACCGGAUAGGAGCUCCUGCUGCAUGGUGGGGGUUGGAAAGUUUCGGCGGUUGGGGAUGGACUCGCGGCUUAUCAGCUUGUUGGUGGGGUAGUGGCUUACCAAGGCUUUGACGGGUAGCCGGCCUGAGAGGGUGACCGGCCACAUGGGGACGGAGAUACGGCCCAGACUCUUACGGGAGGAAGCAGGGGGGAAUAUGGCACAAGGGGCGGAAGCCUGAUGCAGAAACGCCGCGGGCGGGAUGACGGCCUUCGGUUGUAAACCGCUUUCGCCUGUGACGAAGCGUGAGUGACGGUAAUGGGUAAAGAAGCACCGGCUAACUACGUG
rnacentral:rRNA from 1 species